AGAUAUGAGGUGAUCUGGCUGCGACAUGUCAGCCCAUUGAUUGUCAGGAUUGAUUUGGCUUAUCUGGCAGGCUAGGCAGGUGUCCCCUUCCUUCCUCACUGCUCUGUGUAUGUCCCUUCCAAAGCUGCAUGCUCAGUCAGAGGACAGCCUUCCUGGAAUAGAGAUGGACUGUUUUUCAGUGGAGGUUAUAUGAGUAGCUGCAUUUCCCUGCUAGAAUCUCCAAAGCUUUCAAGAGUUUUGGUGUGAACACCGAAUGGACUGGGUUGCCCAUCAACUGAGAUCAUUGUAGCACUGUAUCACUCUCAUCCUGUUGCU
rnacentral:snRNA from 1 species